rnacentral:ncRNA from 1 species
GAAAGAACGAUGAUCAGAAUAGUAGGUGAAUCGAUUCGCUUCAGAGAGUUUCCGGUUGCUGCAAGGAAAUAGCGAGCCAUCAUUGAACACGCCUGUAAGUUGUUUUUCUGAAAUAACAAGUUAGUUUAACGAAAAUUCUUUCGUUUUCUAAAUGAGUAGGAAAAAUCGGAGAGUCCGUUAUCACUCCAUAGUUUAUCUAACUAACAGAGGUUUUUACUGUGAAGUAAAAGCAAAUCUGAGGUGGGACCACGUGAAAAUUUCUCGUCCUCUUG